rnacentral:lncRNA from 1 species
UGCAAUUACGACAUCUGUCCAAUCCUCCUGAAGUUCCCCCCUGACUACUCAUCACUGGCCAAUCAAAUCUAGAAGAUCUCGGCUGUGACUGCUGAGAUGGAGGUCUAGUGGAUGCCACAGACGUUGAGGUAGUACUUCCUAUAGUAGAUGUCGAAUCUCUGCCUCUCUUUAAAGACUGACCCAGGAACUUAGGCAGAUUCUUUCUCUUUGCAAACUCAGC